UGAAACCAUGGCUUCCCUCCCUGGCGUCAGGAGAGGAGCACUGAAAAGGAAACCCUCAUCAUUGUGGUCUGAAGGCAUAUUAACCCUCCAUUGCCAUGACAAAACUAUUCUAGAAGAGGAACGGAUUCUUUGGGAUCAUGGUUUCCUGAGGUUCAUUGCGUGGCCACCUAUCCUGCCUGCUUUUCGGCCUUUGUCUGAGGUCACACAUCAUGGCAGAAGUGUGGGGUGGAGUAAAGCUGUACACCUCCCAGCACCCAGGAAGCCAAAGAGGACCUCAUAUUUUGUUGUAUAAAGCCCAUCUUCCCAAACUCAUUCAGCCAUGAGCCCAUAAAUAGAUGAAUUCACCCA
rnacentral:lncRNA from 1 species